GUUUAAAAGUAGACCGCUGAAUGUAGAUAGUUUAAAAGUUGUUGAUAGACAGCAAGUUUAAUAGAUAGAUGUUUAAUGAUAGUUUACAAGUAGACCAUUUAAAAGUUGAAUGUAAAUAGUUUAAAAGUUGUUGACAGACUGAAAGUUUAAUGAAUGUUGAUAUUCAAAUAGUUUAAUGGCUGUGUAUAAUUAGAUAUUUGACAAUAACUAAAAGUUGGAAUGACUCUAAUGUUUGCUAGCAGUUAUGCUAACAAUUUUAACUAUACUAACCAUGCUACUUAGCUAAUGUU